rnacentral:sRNA from 1 species
CACGAAUAGUGGAUCAAGCAAUGCAUUGGUUAUGAACUCACUUGGUUUCGGGCUUACCCUAAGAGACAAAAAUGGUCCCUCUAAUGAUUUGUUCGAGCAACAGGGAACGCUCAGAGAAAAGAUUGAGCUUCAGCAUAAUGCUAAAGGUAAAAGCCAAUGGACAAAUACAAGAACAGACUCCCAUCUACCCAAUGAUAUAUAGUAUGAUAGCUCAGAAGAUGAUCCCAGUCCCAUAGAUGUCCUAACUCUACCCUUUGUCUCAUUCUUUCUCUUUUUGGUUCAAGUUCUAAGGGGUUCUUCUUUAAAACGAUUCAAGAGUCUAGCGGGUUUGGUUUUAUACUGAUAAUAGGUUUUUAGUCAAUUAUCCUAUAACACCAAUCAUGUCGUUGUAGUAUUUUAGGUUGUCAAUCCAAAUGGGUGUGAUGCUAACAAUCAAGAUGCAAUCAGAGUUCACAGAGUCAAGCCAAGCAAUAAAAGGUUUUGGUGUGUUCUAGCAGUCCUAAGUGAACAUGCAAAAAAUAGAAAUUUAAGUAGAACAGUAAAAACACUCGACCAACACAGCUUGUUGCCAAGCACUGGGUGUGGUCGAUUGACAGGUCGAGUAACAGACAGAAAAUGUAACAGAGAUAUUCGACUGCACAGUCUGUUGCCAAACAACUGGGUGGUCGAGUAUAAGGUCGAGUAACAGGAGAAAAAUACAAAAACUAAGCAUCAGGUAACAAGAUGCAGUAAACAAUAGCAGAGUUAACAAAGAAAUCAAUUAGAUAAAGAAUUCCCGAGGAUGGGGUAAUUGAGUAGUUUUGUUUCCUCAGUUUACAGGUGAUUGACAUGCUCAAUAAAUUAUCCCUAGACAACAAGUUCGAUAACCAAAUCUAAGUGCCACCGCAACAUAGACCCUCAAGUUAAACCAGUCCCAGACUCAAUCACCAUUAACGAGAGCUAACCUAACAGGCAUUACGAAUCAACAAGUUAAAGCCAAAACGCUCCAUGCAACCAACACAUUGGUACAGAGCCACGAAUCUCUGGAAUUAUUGGUUCAGACAUUUCAUCGAACACCUUUUGGGUGCAGAAAUGUCUGGGCUCAAAUUCCAGUUGGUCAUAAAGCAAUAGGCAUUAAGAACAACUAAUACAGAAGGGAUCUAUAAAUCAAACUCAACCACCUAGCAUAUUGAGAAUUCUAAACACUCUAACCCAUCCUCUGAAACAUAUUCACUACUCAGACAUCGUUGAAGAGAACAUAAACGUUGAAUAGAAUGAAAACAUGAUAACAACAGAGUAAUAACAAGAUGAUAACAGGAUGAACAACAAUAAACGAAAUCGAAAGCUAAUGCUGAAUA